rnacentral:rRNA from 1 species
CGCGUAGGUUGUUAAUUAAGUUGGCUGUGAAAGCCCCGGGCUCAACCUGGGAUGGUCAGUCAAAACUGGUUAACUAGAGUGCAGUAGAGGGUAGUGGAAUUUCAGGUGUAGCGGUGAAAUGCGUAGAGAUCUGAAGGAACACCAGUGGCGAAGGCGGCUACCUGGACUGACACUGACACUGAGGCGCGAAAGCGUAGGUAGCGAACA